CGAUAUUUUAGCCAAAAUGCUGUAUUUAUUGAAUUUACAGUGAUACAGUUGAUAUUAUUUCUCCAGAUAAUAAACAGGAUUACAUCCUGAUGUAGCACAGUAUUAUUCUCUUUGACAAGGCAAUCAGUCAUUUCUACAUUCAGUGUCAACAAACUCUGAGCCCCAAAUGGCACCCUAUUCCCUAUGUAGGGCACUACUUUAGACUAGAGUCAUAUGGACCCUGGUCUAUAUAGGGAGAAGGGUGUCAUUUGGGAUGGAUCCUACAGUAUCCCUCUCUCUCUAACUCUCUCUUUCUUAAGUGGCUUGGGGCUCAGAGAGAAACUCUUAAAGGGGGGAGAAGGGCAGAGGGAUGAGGGGUGGAGGGAUGGAGGGAUGGGGUGGAGGGAUGGCAGGACAGAAGGGUGGAGGCAUGGAGGGAGAGAAGGGUGGAGGCAUGGAGGGAGAGAAGGGUGGAGGCAUGGAGGGGUGGAGGGAUGGAGAGAAGGAUGGAGGGAUGGAGCGAGAGAAGGAUGGAGGAUGGAGAGAUGGAGGGAGAGAAGGGUGGAGGGAUGUAUGUAAGACAGGAUGACAGUCGACAGCCUUAAAUAAGGCCUGAGGGGAGGAAAGGAAAAGAGUUGCCACACAGUCUACAGUGUGUGGAGAGAAAUGUGAAGCUAGCCCUCUAUGCGAAACUGAAUAAGCCCCCAGGCUGAGUCUCCCGGGUAGGAAAUUGGCUAACAGUGUUAGCGAGCCAAGAGCAACCUUCUGGCUUGGUCUUUAUGUUUCAUUUAGAUCUUAUUUGCUACAUGCACACAAAGUCAAUGGAACUCUUCAGCACGUUUUACAUAGAACCACUGGCCGUGUUCUAGAACUUCUAGUGUUCUACAGUAGAAUUCUCUGGCUGUGUUCUAGAACAUAGUAGAGUCACCUAGCUAGCUAAUACAGUGGUUCUCAAUCCUGGUCCUGGGGACCCAAAGGGGGACACAUUUCUGUUUUUGCUCUAGCACUACACACCUGAUUCAAAUCAUCCAAGCUUGAUGAUCAGUUGAUCAUUUUAAAAUCAGCAAAAACUAAAAUGUGUCCCCCUUCGGGACCCCAGGACCAGGAUUGAGAACCACUGAUUGAACAGAUAAGGUGACACUAUAAACUAUUUAAAAAGUGGAAUAAAAACAGGGUGAUGAAAGUGCAAUCACUUUAAAAAUGAUUAAAAACUUAAAACUCAGCGUUUAAAAAUACUUUAAAAAAACAUUCUCAUCAGAACAAGUGUGUUAAACAUACUGGUCUGUUUCUCAGAGCAAUAUAGACCAGAUUACUACUGAGAUCAUUGUACACACACUCAUCAAAUCAAACUAAUAUUUUAUGCCCAAACUAAUGCUCCGAUGUACAUAAAUAGAUAUAAAUUGGGAUAUUAUAAAGACAACUUUUCAGGUCCCAAAGCACCCUGGAACUUUAACUUAAAAAAGUGGUCUUCUCCCCUAUAGUACCCUAGCAAUGGUCCUGUGAACCAUACAUAAAACACGGAGCAUUCAACACGGAAAAUGUUAAAAAACUUACAAAUUCACCCUCACAACCAAAAGAGUUGUACCCCCCCAACCUGACUAUCAAUUAUCACAAAAAAAAGGUACAUUUCUUCUUAUUUUUUUAUUACAAGUCUUAGAAUGUUAAAAUAAACAAUGAUGGUGAAUAUACACAUUGAGGGGGACAUUAAACCAAGAUGGACAGGCAGCAAGCGUCAGCGGUGGAGGAGAGGAAGGGGGACGAGAGGUGAGGAAGGGGGAUGAGAGGUGAGGAAGAGGGAGGCAGCAAGCGUCAGCGGUGGAGGAGAGGAAGGGGGACGAGAGGUGAGGAAGAGGGAGGCAGCAAGCGUCAGCGGUGGAGGAGAGGAAGGGGGACGAGAGGUGAGGAAGAGGGAGGCAGCAAGCGUCAGCGGUGGAGGAGAGGAAGGGGGACGAGAGGUGAGGAAGAGGGAGGAGAGGAAGGCAGCAAGCGUCAGCGGUGGAGGAGAGGAAGGGGGACGAGAGGUGAGGAAGAGGGAGGAGAGGGAGGCAGCAAGCAUCAGCGGUGGAGGAGAGGAAGGGGGACGAGAGGUGAGGAAGAGGGAGGAGAGGGAGGCAGCAAGCAUCAGCGGUGGAGGAGAGGAAGGGGGACGAGAGGUGAGGAAGGGGGAUGAGAGGUGAGGAAGGGGGAUGAGAGGUGAGGAAGAGGGAUGAGAGGUGAGGAAGGAGAGGAAGAGAGGUGAGGAAGGGGGACAAGAGGCGAGGAAGGGGGACAAGAGGUGAGGAAGGAGAGGAAGAGAGAGGCAGCAAGUGUCAGCGGUGGAGGAGAGGUGAAAAAGGGGGAGGAGAGGUGAGGAAGGGGGACAAGAGGUGAGGAAGAGGGAGGAGAGGUGAGGAAGAGGGAGGAGAGGUGAGGAAGGGGGAUGAGAGGUGAGGAAGAAGAGGAAGAGAGGUGAGGAAGAGGGAGGAGAGGUGAGGAAGAGGGAGGAGAGGUGAGGAAGGGGGAUGAGAGGUGAGGAAGGGGGAUGAGAGGUGAGGAAGGGGGAUGAGAGGUGAGGAAGGGGGAGGAGAGGUGAGGAAGAGGGAGGAGAGGUGAGGAAGGGGGAGGAGAGGUGAGGAAGAGGGAGGAGAGGUGAGGAAGGAGAGGAAGAGAGAGGCAGCAAGUGUCAGUGGUGAAAGAGAGGUGAAAAAGGGGGAGGAAGGUGAGGACAGAAAGAUUCCAAAAUGUCUUUCACUUCUAGAACAUCUCAAACACUUCCCCUGCUUCCACUAUGCCUCUUCCUCCUCUCCAUCCCUCCUUCCUGUCCAGGGACACCUUUAGUCAGUAGUACAGGUCAUGUAAAAUGACAACAACAUAGAAAUACAUUUACAGAUUAAUAAUACUAACAAUAUUAUAGCCACAGAAUAUUCUACAUGUACAGAUAACGUCUGCAUCCCAAAUGUAACCUAUUCCCUAUAUAGUGCACUACUUUUGGCCAGAGCCCAUAUAGAAAAGGGUGAAGGGUUUGGGACAUAGACCAACUUGUGACCAGUUCACAAGCAAAAACCAAACAAGGUGGUAAAGAAAUAGAUUGUUUUCAUACAGAAGAUAGAUGUUGGUAUGAUGUGACUGCUGGUUUCUUCUUGACACACACACACACACACACACACACACACACACACACACACACACCUGCCUUCUCACUUUCCCUUACAGCAUGUGUGUGUUUGCAGGUAGAUGAGAAGAAAGAAUGAAAGAGAGAGGGAAUGAAAGAGAGAGGUUGCAGUGUCCCUUGGUUUGUAGCUGUGCAACAGAGGCCGAAGGGAAAGAUGCCCACCUGUCAAGUCCACCUUUAAUUUAGACCUGGCACCAAGAGAAAGAGAGAGAGGAGGGAGAGAGACGGACCGACGGGGGGGAUUAGAGUGAGGCGAGGACAGAUACAGGGAAAGAGGAGGAGGGGGAAAAAAAAACUCUCCCUCUCUCUCUCGUUGGCUGUGAGCUUCACUGUAGCAGAGAUAGUAGAGAUGAGAACAGCUUAGAGACCAAAAAGCAGCCGUCAAUCCCCGGAGAUUAACACACACACACACGCGAUUUAAAAAUAAAUAAUAAUAUAGAAUCUGUAUAUGGUCUCCUAACCCAUCUCUCUAAUGACAACUGAACAGGAGGGAGGCAGAGGAUUAUUUUAGGUACUUAUUGACUUAAUCAGCAUCCCAAGUAGAACCCUACAUAGUGCACUACUUUUAUCCAGGGCACAUAGGGAUCUGGUCAAACGUAGUGCACUAUAUAGGGAAUAGGCUGCCAUUUGAGACACAUCCUUAGCCAAUACUACAGGGAACUAGACUGGCCCUAAAACCAACAGAGAGAGAGAGUUAGAGAGUUAGAGAGAGAGAGAGAGAGAGAGAGAGAGAGAGAGAGAGAGAGAGAGAGACAGAGACAGACAGAGACAGAGACAGACAGAGAGAGAGAGAGAGAGACAGAGAGACAGAGACAGAGAGAGAGAGAGAGAGAGAGAGACAGAGACAGACAGAGACAGAGACAGAGAGAGAGAGAGCGUACUGUACUUGUCUGUGUUUGUUGCGUGGUUCCUAGAAAACCACGGCCGGAGCAGUGCAUCACACACACAGAGUUGAUUAUAGUCCACAUAUGGGCAGACCCUGCCCCCACACCAGCGCAGGAUGUCAAUUGGAUGACUACAGGGGUCAGAGGUCAAUAACUCAUCCUGACCAAUGAUAGCUUGCUGUGUCUGUGACGUUAUUUCCACAUCAUCCCUCUUUCAUUAACGCUCUCUGUUCGUCCAUCCAUCAAUCCAUCCAUCCAUCCAUCCAUCCAUCCAUCCAUCCAAUGAAUGUAUCCCCCAGCCGCAGAUCAGGGGAUUAGUAUCUUAGCUAUUAUAUCAUGCAGCGUUAGCAUCAUGCUACACUAGCUCGGAGCUAGCGCUGCCCACAACUUCCUUCUGUAAACGUGGAACAUUUCAUUGUCUAGCCAACAGCAGAGAAUCUCAGUGAUAGAGGGGUAAACCACUCACUACCGCCGACACAACACCCCCAUCUGGCAGUCCAAUCUGUGUACUGCACCUCAACACAGACAGCCAAGAGUGUCGCAAAUGUUUUUGGUGCUGAGAUUCACUUUUUGGCUUUUCCUGACCCUCCAAUCUCGAAAGUCAAAACAUCGCCAACCAUUCAGAUAGUCCAAACAGAAACUACUCCAAGUUGAACCACCAGCUUUAAAUGUGGGACAGAUAGUGGUUAAGAGAAGCUACACUUUUAGUUUUGGGACAGAUAGUGGUUAAGAGAAGCUACACUUUUAGUUUUGGGACAGAUAGUGGUUAAGAGAAGCUACACUUUUAGUUUUGGGACAGAUAGUGGUUAAGAGAAGCU
rnacentral:lncRNA from 1 species